rnacentral:rRNA from 1 species
UGACGGUACCUGACUAAGAAGCCCCGGCUAAAUACGUGCCAGCAGCCGCGGUAAUACGUAUGGUGCAAGCGUUAUCCGGAUUUACUGGGUGUAAAGGGAGCGUAGGCGGCCUUGCAAGUCUGAUGUGAAAGGCCGGGGCUCAACCCCGGGACUGCAUUGGAAACUGUAUUGCUGGAGUGCCGGAGAGGUAAGCGGAAUUCCUAGUGUAGCGGUGAAAUGCGUAGAUAUUAGGAGGAACACCAGUGGCGAAGGCGGCUUACUGGACGGUAACUGACGUUGAGGCUCGAAAGCGUGGGGAGCAAACAGGAUUAGAUACCCUG